UGUCGUUUCCUCGGGAAGGAGUGGUGGGGAGUUGCUAAGCUUCGGCAAUUGUUUCUUGACGGUGACGUUGAGCGGUGGUUUUUGUCUUUUAUGUUUUACAUGUUUUACGUUUUAUUUUCUUUUGCAUGUUUUUUACGUUCUUUCGUUUCUUUAGUCGUUAUUUUAGGUUUUAACGUUUAGUUGGUAGUUACUGGCUUUUAUUGUCUUUUGCUUUUAGGUAGUUUUAACUUUGCGUUUUCAUUUGUUUUAUCCUUGAUCUGUUUCCUGUUUUUCAUUCUUGAUUUUAUUUUGGUUUUUGUUUCGAACUGCAUCUCUUUUUUUUUUCCCUCUUUAUCUCUUUCUGACGUGGUUUUUGCGAGUUUUCUCCGUUGUGCUUCGCUUCGCCUUCUGAUCAGGGUGUCUGCUCCGUUCGAAGCAGAAGGUGGGACGUCUAUGCUCUUUCUUGGUGUUCUUUAAAGACUGGUCCCCUUAAGCUUGCGUUCGCCUCUUGAUCGGUGUUGAUGCAACUGUGUGGUUUUGCUUCGUUCUCUUCUUGUUUUCCUUUCUGUUGGUGAACUGAUCGGGGGGUAAUUCGCUCUCGGUGUUUUGGGGUGGACGUUUUCUUGGUUUCUCUUUGACGGCUUGUGCAUCUGGGCUAGUGUUGCUUCGAAUUGCUGGUGGAGGUCCUCCUGCCCGGGCUUCUCCUCGUGGCUCUUUCCGGCGGGGGUUGGGGGAGGUGGCCCCUGUUUCGAUUUGAUGUUCUUGGCGCUGUUUUCUUCGACGGAGUGCGCACCUAACACGGGUGGUGAUACGGGACUGGCGGUGGAGGCCUUCUUGCUCGUGCUGCCUUCUUCAUUCGGUAUUCUGUUUAUUUUAUUCAUUUUUUGCAUUUCCCUGUAAAGCUAGUUCUAUUGUUUGGGUUGUAAAAGGACUGUACAGGGACUGUUUUUAUAAUUUUCUUUUUUCAUUGAGCCUUA